GCAAAGAGUUUGUAGGGGGAAAAAAAGUUUUAAUAAAAACGUCAUUAUUUGUUGGUCCCAAAAUAUUUUAAACAAGAUGCUCCCACUGGAAUUCGUCGUCAAAAUGCUAGAGAGUCUUCCUUUGGUGUGCUCGGAAGGAGACUAUACAGGUCAGAAAGAGAACAUAGCAGAACUGGAACUCGGUAAGAUAGCUGAAAGUGAUUUGGACCAAUUCUUGUGCUUUAUGUCGGUAAUAAUGGCCGACCAUAAAAAAUUCUCUCCAGUGGCUUGUAGGCGCGCAGCACUUCAGCUACAAUUGCAGUUGAACAUGAAAGGUUCUGUGCCGCAAAUGGAACAGCAAAAACGUUGGAGAGCCAUUGCAGCCGACGUUCGUGACAUGAUUAAAAGCAACCUUCUGAUCGCUUUACCUACAACCUCAUUAUGCUACUCAAUUACCGUUGUCGAGAUAAUUGCUUGCAUCGCAGUGAUGGAAAUACCGCUUAAGAAUAACUGGCCCGAUCUCGUACCUACAUUAUCCAGCAUCGUAUAUCAAUUGGACAGCGGAGGGAAAGAAUCAGCUGUGGAAGCAUUGACAUUUAUGUGUCAAAAGUUGAAAACGGAAAGAAUGGCUGAAUAUGUUGGCUACAUAAUGGCACCUUUGCUCGCCAGCCUUCGCAUGGAUCAGCUCUCAAAUAGAGCUCAGCAAGCAAUCCUCAACAUGCUGAUGUCUUGUUUCGAGCCCGCCCAUGCAUAUUUCAAAAAUUCAGGGGAACAUAAAAUUGUCAUGCAAGCUAUUUUCGAAGCCGCCGAAUCAUCUGAUAUUGGUACUCGGUCGAUAGCCUUGUCGUUGCUGAUCAAAGCUGCAUCUUUCUGUUAUCAACACCUGAAAGACUAUAUCGACGUCAUCAUCCCAAUAACCACGGCGGCAAUAAAUUCAGAAGAAGGUGAUAUUCACGAAAUGGGUCUACAAUUUUGGAAGGCUGUGAGCCAGGUGGAAAAUCCUCGCGAUCCUGAGGGAAGGCGGAUACUCCAAACGGAACAAAGAGAAGCCUCCUGUUAUUUGGUAGAAAAUAACAGAAUCAAAAUCGUUCCUUGCCUUUUCGCUCAAUUGGUUAGAGGAGAAAUUUUUGCCAAUUUAUCACCUGAGGAUUCUGACGUGGCUAACAAUUCCUCCGUCAAAGCCGAACAGGCAUGUUACGACACUGUUUUCAAGGGAGAUCUAACUUUGGAAGAUCUAGAAGCUUCUAAUGCGACGGAGAAAAAGCAAAGUAAAAGUGAUACGAUAUCGAAGGUUGAUCGAGCUUCUCGAAAGAAUCGAGGCGAAACUUUCAAGAAUAAGCAAUCACCCGACGGUUGGACGCCACCGAGGGAGGUGAUAAUAUAUUUCAGUGAGCUAUGUGAAGAUUACCCCGACACUAUAGAUCGUUACGUACUACCUCUUGUUGAAAAGAAAAUUCAGCAUGCGGAUUGGAGACACCGCCAUGCAGCUCUUUGGUCUAUGUUAGUUUUCCUCAAACAAAUGGACCCGAAACAUGCAGAAAAAACUCUCAAACAUAUCUUUCCUCUGAUUCGAGGAGUGAUACGAGAUAAGGCAAGUUCAAGAAUACGCAACACUGCUCUCUGGGUUAUCAGUUGGAUGGUCGAAAAAUAUCCGCCAUUAUUAGUGGUUCCCGCAACUUUACAAGAUCUUCAACUGCUUCUAGAUGACUUAAUUGCUUGCCUUAACGACGGCGAAGGUCGAGUGUCACCCUCAAGUUGUAUUGCUCUGACAUCAGUUGUCAAAGCCUCUCACACACUAGCCCGACAACAAGCGGAUGGAGAUAUACGGCCACCUACCUCUGUGCUGUCACCCUAUUAUGACAUGAUAGCCGAUCAGCUCGUCAAGGCCGCUAAGAGACGUCUAACAGCUGCCUUUGAAGCUCUUCGUCAGUUGCUGCUUACCUCUCCCACCGAUUGUUAUUGGGUCGUGUUGGAAACUACGAAUGAAUUGCUCCUAUUGCUACGUAAGGUUGUCGAGCUACCGGACCGUGUGGGAUGCCAAUGCCACGAGGCUGUACAAAAGUUGAUAUGCGUUGUUCUACGAAACGUUGUAGAAAUUUUGGAAUUAGGCAAAGCAACUUCAAAACAACUUUGUCACAAGUUUAUGACCUACCUGCUGAGUCUUCUAACAAAAUUCCCUUUCGGAAUGGCACGAGAAGAAGCUCUUUUGGCUGUAUCAACAAUUGCUCCAAUGCUUGACUGGGAGCUGAAGCUCCAUGCAGACUCACUCGUUUCCUAUUUAACGUUAGCAAUCAGCAGCAUCCCUAAAAAUGACCCUGCUUUAGCCCUAGUCGUGGAUGCUAUUGGCACUCUUUUCCGCGUUCUAGAUUCAGAAGCAAUACCUUACGUUAGCAAACUUCUGGGGCAACUGCUCAUUUUGACAGAUUCUAACCAAAACUUACCAACAGAAGUAAAAAUACGCUGCGUAGCUGCUUUCGGCCAGAUGGCGACGGCCGUUGGUCGGACGGGGUUCCAAAUGUACAUGACGGCUGUCCUCCGCCGCUUACAUUUUUAUGGCGAGCUUUCAACUGCUGAGGAGAGAUACAGUAGCAAAGAACUAAGAGAAAAGCUACUGCAAACUUGCUUAGAAACCUAUUCCAGUCUUAUACAAUCAAUCUUAUACAGAGGAACUAUUCCAUUAACUCUUGAAUUGUGUUCAAGUUCUUUGUGUCUUAAACAUAUUUCAAAACUUAUUCAGUCUAUCACUACAAGCAAAAGUGAUUUAGCAGAGAAAACUCGCACAGCUAUGGCUCAUUUGAUCGGGAAUAUCUUACUUGAAUUUGGACCAAAGAAGGCAUUGUCUCAUAUACCCUUACAGGCAUCUGAGUGUAAGUCAUUAUUGGCAGAAGUUGUUUUUCACACUAAAGGAAAUGGGCAAGUUGCGUCAAUAUGCAGAGCAGCUCUCAGCGAGAUAGAAAUGGAUGCAAGAAGACUGAACUGAAAAUGCGAUAGUGAAACUUCUGGGGAAAAAGAACGUUCUCUUUUAAACAACAACAGAUAAUUUUCAUGGCAACUAGUUUUUCGGACUAAUUUCCCGGCGCUUUGAAAUGUUGACAGCAGACGACGCUUUGAUUUUUACGUACCCAGCUGCCAAACUGCCAAACAUCAACCGAACGUAAAUUCGAAAUAAAAAAACUCGGAGUCGGAGGUCGCCUCGGUGGGUGGAUUAUUAGCCAUCAAUUAUUAAGUGUUAACAGCUGAUAAGAAUCCAUUAUUCAUGAAAAUAGUUAUCAAAUUCGUUGUAUCAACCGAUACUAAACCUCAAUUAGUGUUUCCAUUUUCCGUAAAACAUAUUCGUGUAAAUUGUAGACCAAGCCAGAUCUCGAAAUACAUAUUUUUCAGCUUGAAACAA
rnacentral:misc_RNA from 1 species